AUAGAAGAGAAACGACGAUUUUCGAAGCGACGACAAAGAAAGGAAUGAACCGGCGAACCGAUCUGAUGCGGCGUUGGAAGACGAAGCGAUAAUGAAUCGAGACCAUUUUAGAGUCAAGAGGGGAAUCAUUUGAUGGGAAUGAAGCGGCGCCAAUGGAAACGAUAGGGAGGGAAGCAAAAUCGAUGUCGCACUUGGCCCUAUUUUCCAUUCAUAGAAGAAAAACGAUGGGUUCCGAAGCAACGAAGCAAACCGGCAACGAUGGCUUCCGAAGCGACGAAGCGAACCGGCCCGAAGCGACGACAAUGAAGAAA
rnacentral:lncRNA from 1 species